CUUCACUCUUGCAGGUGCCCUCAAGGCACGACUGCAGCACUUGCUGACUCGGACCUUUUCCUUUUCACCUUCUGCAAGUAGCCAUGAAUCCAGGCAGUGACGCAGAGCACAGACCUGCGAGCGUGCCCAAGCUGGCUAGGGGGAAGGAGGAGAAAGAAGGCCCUGGAGCUGCCCCAGCACAGCAGCCUGAAGAGGUGGAGCAGUUCCAGCCACUGCAGAAGGGUGAGUGGCAGAGCUGGGCCACAGGGCUGGUGCCUGCAGCCAGCUUGGCCCCAUGCCAUGCCAUGCCAUGCCAUGCCAUGCCAUGCCAUGCCAUGCCAUGCCAUGCCAUGCCAUGCCAUGCCAUGCCAUGCCAUGCCAUGCCAUGCCAUCCCAUGCCAUCCCAUGCCAUCCCAUCCCAUCCCAUCCCAUCCCAUCCCAUCCCAUCCCAUCCCAUCCCAUCCCAUCCCAUCCCAUCCCAUCCCAUCCCAUCCCAUCCCAUCCCAUCCCCUGGGGCCAUGCCCAUGGACAGGAUGGAAUAGGGGCCGGGCAGACACCCCACAGCCGUGCUCCAUGCCCUGGGGCGGCGCGGGGCUGUCCCUGCCUGGGCAGCGCAGGGCUGGGCUGUGUUGUCCGGCCUCUCCCGCAGCCCCUCAGCUCGGGCUGCGCUCGCUCUUUGCCAGGUGCAGCCGUGCAGCGCACACGAGAGCAGGAACGCACCCGUGGCCGCUUCCGCAGAACAGCGCAGGUACCUGCAGCCAUCCCCACCUGGGCUGGGCCUGCUGGCACUGCUCAGCCCAGCACUGUGCUCCGAGCACUCCAUGCAACAUCCCGGGCUUCUUGCCCUUCUGCUACAGAUGGUUUGCAAAUUCAUGAAGAGGAUUCGGGAGGAAGAGAGCAGCGUCGUGGGCACUGUGGUCAGAGCGUACUCUCCCAUCUUCAAAACCAAGACCAGUGCUGCCCUGCUGGAUAUGCUUGUGGAGGAGGGUCCUUCCAGCCCAAAGCAAGUGAGCAGCCUGUGGCCUGGCUUUUCUCCUCCCAGCAGUUGCGUGGCCUCCCAAGCCACGCCUGCUGCUCCCUGGAAGCCUUUGAGGCCAUGGCAGUGUGGUGGCAAGGGAAGCACUUCUCUGGGGCAGCUGGGCACAUUCCUUCCUCUGGCAGCUUUCCAAGUCUCCCCUGCCUUCUCCAGGUGCCGGCCAUGGUGAGGUACAUCCACCAGUGGCUGGUGGCCAAUGAGUUUCCUGAGUACAAUCUGUACAGGCCCCUUCUGGAUCUGACAGAGGCACAGCCCUGUGACGUGGUGAUGGCUCUCCUGCGUGUGGCCCCAGUGUGUGACAGAGCUGCUUUGGCCAUGUGGAAGAGCAUCAUGUGCUCGCCCAGGACUGCAGAGCCGGCCAUGCUCGCACUCCUCGAGGUGCUGGGGAGCUGGCCAGAGCACAGCACGUGCACCUCCGAUGGGGACCACACGGCUGUCCUUGCCCUGGCUGUGAGUUUCUGCCUUUGCUGGCCCCAAGGCCACCCCUCCAGCAGCUCUCCAUCCUCCCUCCCCCACGGCG
rnacentral:lncRNA from 1 species